rnacentral:rRNA from 1 species
GGCGAUGAUGGAUAGCUGGUCUGAGAGACGAUCAGCCACACUGGGACUGAGACACGGCCAGACUCCGUACGGGAGGCAGCAGGUGGGAAUCUUGCGCAAGUGGACGAAGUCUGACGCAGCAACGCCGCGUGAGUGAUGAAGGUCUUUGGAUCGUAAAGCUCUUUCGGGAGGGAAGAAAUGGUUGUGCGCUAAUACCGCACAGCCUUGACGGUACCUUCAGAAGAAGCACCGGCUAACUCUGUGCCAGCAGCCGCGGUAAUACAGAGGGUGCAAGCGUUGUUCGGAAUCAUUGGGCGUAAAGCGAGUGUAGGCGGUCGAAAAGGUCGGGUGUGAAAUCCCAGGGCUUAACCCUGGAACUGCAUUCGAAACCGUUCGACUUGAGUACGGGAGAGGGUCGUGGAAUUGUCGGUGUAGAGGUGAAAUUCGUAGAUAUCGGCAAGAACAUCAGUGGCGAAGGCGACGACCUGGUCCGAUACUGACGCUCAGACUCGAAAGCGUGGG